UAAUACAGAGGAUGCAAGCGUUAUCCGGAAUGAUUGGGCGUAAAGCGUCUGUAGGUGGCUUUUCAAGUCCACCGUCAAAUCCCAGGGCUCAACCCUGGACAGGCGGUGGAAACUACCAAGCUGGAGUACGGUAGGGGCAGAGGGAAUUUCCGGUGGAACGGUUAAAUGUUUUGAGAUCGGAAAGAACGCCAACAGCGAAAGCACUCUGCUGGGCCGAAACUGACACUGAUAGACGAAAGCUAGGGGAGCAAAUGGGAUUAGUGACCCCCCUAGUCCUAGCCGUAAACGAUGGAUACUAGGUGUUGUGCGGAUCCACCCGUACAGUUCCGUAGCUAACGCGUUAAGUAUCCCGCCUGGGGAGUACGUUCGCAAGAAUG
rnacentral:rRNA from 1 species